rnacentral:tRNA from 1 species
GAGGGUAUAUCUCAGUGGUAGAGUAUGUGCCUGGUAUGCACGAGGUCCUCGGUUCAGUCCCCAGUACCUCCA